AUUGAACGCUGGCGGCAGGCCUAACAAAUGCAAGUCGAACGAGUGGCGGACGGGUGAGUAAUGUCUGGGAAACUGCCUGAUGGAGGGGGAUAACUACUGGAAAAGGUAGCUAAUACCGCAUACCAUCGGAUGUGCCCAGAUGGGAUUAGUUAGUAGGUGGGGUAAAGGCGCACCUAGGCGACGAUCCCUAGCUGGUCUGAGAGGAUGACCAGCCACAAUGGAACUGAUACACGGUCCAGAAGCCUCAGGGAGGGAGCAGUGGGGAAUAUGGCACAAUGUGCGCAAGGCUGAUGCAGUCCUGCCGCGUGUAUGAAGAAGGCCUUUGGGUUGUAAAGUACUUUCAGCGGGGAGGCGUUACCCGCAGAAGAAGCACCGACUAACGCCGUGCCAGCAGCCGCUGUAAUAC
rnacentral:rRNA from 1 species